UCAUAGAUAUUAAGGUCAGAAGGGACUAUUAUGAUCAUCUAGUGGUUCUCAACUUAUUUACCAUUGUAGGCCACAUAUGCAGCUCUCCGUGUUAUGUGGCCCGCAUCUGCACAAUAUAUAUACACUACCUGUAUGGUCCUGAGGAUGUCACAUGGGCCGCUGCUGUGUGCUG